rnacentral:rRNA from 1 species
CCUACGGGCGGCAGCAGUGGGGAAUAUUGCACAAUGGGCGCAAGCCUGAUGCAGCCAUGCCGCGUGUGUGAAGAAGGCCUUCGGGUUGUAAAGCACUUUCAGCGGGGAGGAAGGCGUUAAGGUUAAUAACCUUGGCGAUUGACGUUACCCGCAGAAGAAGCACCAGCUAACUCCGUGCCAGCAGCCGCGAUAAUACGGAGGGUGCAAGCGUUAAUCGGAAUUACUGGGCGUAAAGCGCACGCAGGCGGUCUGUCAAGUCGGAUGUGAAAUCCCCGGGCUCAACCUGGGAACUGCAUUCGAAACUGGCAGGCUAGAGUCUUGUAGAGGGGGGUAGAAUUCCAGGUGUAGCGGUGAAAUGCGUAGAGAUCUGGAGGAAUACCGGUGGCGAAGGCGGCCCCCUGGACAAAGACUGACGCUCAGGUGCGAAAGCGUGGGGAGCAAACAGGAUUAGAUACCCUAGUAGUC